rnacentral:tRNA from 1 species
GGUCCUGUAGUCCAAUGGCCAAGACGCUUCCUUGACGUGGAAGUAACCGCGGUUCGAUUCCGCGCAGGACCA